GUUUUAAAUAUACCCUCUUUUUAUCCUUAAAGCACUUUAUGAUUGUAGGUUAUCAAUAUUAUCUCCAUUUUGCAGCUGAAGAAACUGAGGUUUCAAGAGGUUAGAUAUCUGCCAUGUUCUUAAUGCAUAUUUUAUUGAGCCUCCUUUGGAUCUUUCUCUCCAUUUGUCUUGUAUGAAUAUUACAGUGAUAAUAGGUAUACCUAAAAAUCUAAAACCAGUUCUCAUCACCAUUGUUUGAAAGGUUUUGUGUAAAUAUGUGUGUGUGUGUGUGUGUGUAUUCAUACAAAUGCUUACCUAAAUAGUGUAUAGAAUCUGAUGUAACAUAUAAAAAUACUAAAGAAAUGCUAGAUUUGAAAUUAAAAAUAAUAUUGUUCAAUUGUUAGUAGCAUCAAAGAAACAUUUGAAAAUAAUAUUAUAGAAGGUUAAACAAAUGGGAGAGGGGUUAUAAUCUCAGGCAGUUUUUGAGAUUUAGCGAGAAACCAGUAGGGUCCUUGGGACAGCCUUUAGAAAAUGCUUUUGCACAGGAUGACCUCUUUUUUUUCCUUCGGGCUGUAACAAAGGGCAUUUUGUUAAUAGAGCAAUUUAUGUCAAAUCCUUUUUUGAGCCCAGGAAGACCAGAUUUUUUCUCCCAGGUUGUAUUUCUCUCAUCCUUCUAAGGCCAAGGUUUGAAAAAAAUCUCUAAAAGCAAGAUUCAAUAAAUACAUGGGCUUGCUAGAAAUAUUUAGUCACUUGGUCUUGUGAUUGCGGCAAAUCAUUCACUUGAGCAGAACCCAAAGGGCUUGUAUUUCCCGUUAUGGGAAAUACAAUCUGGGUAAGAUGGAGAAGGUUCUUUAAGGGGAGAGGUUUGUGGGUCACUUCAAAGUUGCGCAUGCUUACCUGGGGUUCUCUCCUUGAGGAAACUCAGUUAGCAUCAGCGUCCAUAUUUCUAUUUUUAGUUUAGAAUGCUCAUUUCUCCUCCCCACUCAGCCCUCCCUUCCUGUUUUGUUUUUUUUGUUUUUUUGUUUUUUUUGUUUUUUCUGAUAGUUUUGCAGACUCAAAAUGCCUCUCUCGGGACACAGUGCAGAGGUCUGGGAUGUGAUGCUGAACGACCAGCAGUGAUUUAGAACAAUCAGGACCCCCUGGAUGUAUUUUUAUACUUUACCAGCAGUUUGAUAACUAAGGACUAUAAACUUUGAACGGUGAUUCCAAGUCCCCAUAGGCUGUCAGGCUUACAAUUCACCUUCCACACUAUUUUAUAGAGAAUGACACUAGCUCCUGCCUUUUAAAAAAAAGUACCUUCUGGUUCAUUAGAAAUAUUGAAACAUGAUAUGUUAUAAAUGUUGAAAAACUUAUGAUGGUUGACAGUAUUCUUAUGUAUAAAUUCCUUUUUAGGAUGGCCUUUCCUUAUUUGUUACUUACAGUAGCAAAUAAUCAGCCCAAAUAAGUUAUUUGAAUGUACAUAUCCAUCACAUAAAACCCAUUAAAAUACUCAUCAUAGCUCUUUCCCUGCCGCCGCAGAGUCGCGCGGAGGCGCGGGUGCACUCAAGAUUCAGCUCCACCUGUAACCCACCGCCAUGGCCGAGAAAGGCAUUGCUGCUGGGGGUGUAAUGGACGUUAAUACUGCUCUGGAAGAGGUGCCGAGGCCCGCUUUCGUCCACGAUGGCCUAACACAUGGAAUUCGUGAAGCUGCCAAAGCCUUAGGCAAGCGCCAAGCCCAUCUCUGUGUGCUUGCAUCCAACUGUGAUGAGCCUAUGUAUGUCAAGUUGGUGGAGGCCCUUGUGCUGAGCACCAAAUCAACCUGAUUAAGGUUGAUGACAAGAAACUAGGGCGAUGGGUAGGCCUCUGUAAAACUGACAGAGAGGGAAAACCCCGUAAAGUGGUUGGUUGCAGUUGUGUGGUGGUUAAGGACUAUGGCAAAGAGGCUCAGGCCAAGGAUGUCAUCGAGGAGUACGUCAAAUGCAAGAAAUGAUCAAAUAAAAAAACUGGGCUCUUGUUCCUCAAAAAACAAACAAA